UGUGCGGGUUCACGGACUCAGUGGC
rnacentral:piRNA from 1 species